GUGUAAUAUUGUAAUGGAAUAACCAAAAUAAGUCCCCACUUAGUAUAAUGAAGAUCAAACUAUCAUUAUAAGACAGUUUGGAAAAAUUCUUAGGAAGAAGAAUUGUCAAGUAGAGAGUUUUAGUUGGCAAAGAACUGGUCUUCUUUUACUUGUCUCUUGUCUUGUAGCAGAAGAUUACUCCACAGUCAUCAGAUAAAUACCAGCUCAUCCUCACUUAGGAGAACCUUGGCUAGGAUCUUGUUAGAGUGCCAGUCUUGCUUUCUUUCUGGGACAGUUUUAGGCUGGGGGGGUCAGCAACAUUGUCUUAAAGGGCUAACACUAGAUAUUUAGGCUUUGUGGGCCAUGUGAUUUCUGUCCUAACUACUCAGCUGUGUGUUGUAGCACGAAAACAGCCAAGACAUAGACAAUAUGUAAAAGAAUGAGCAUGGCUGUGUUCUAGUAACACUUUAUCUAUGGAUAUUGAAAUUUUAAUUCCACAUAAUUUUCAUGUGUCACGAAAUAUUCUUUUUCUUUGGAUUUUUUCCUACCCAUUUAAUCAAAGCCAUUCUUAGGUCACAGGCAGUGAGCUGGCUUCGGCCCAUGGCUGGGAGUCUACCCACACCUGGACGAGGCUGUCACCACCUCGAAGGAAGGAUUACCUGUAAGAUGUAAAACAUCAUCCCUGGGCAGCACGGGGCACACAGAAGACAGUACAUAGAUGCUUACUUUUCAUCGAGUCUGGAUGUUCCUGAAAUCAACAGGAGGCAAAGAACUUUAGCUCGCUUGUAGCAAUAACCACUGUGCAUAGAAACACACAGGCGCCACUGUCUCUCGUGGAGGAAGGAUGUUGGUCGAGGGUCUGUUCCAGAUGCUAAAGACAGGCGCUGGCAGCUCCCUCUUUUCCUGGGGGAAACGUGGUCUUCACAGACUGACAGUCAAUGGCGGCUGCCCAGCGCCAUCCCGGGAUGUGCCCUUGGCCCCUCAGAUUGGACCUCUGCCUCCUGCAGAGCCCAGCACCAGCCCAGAGUCGCCAUCAGUUGGCUCAGAAACAUUUCCUUAGAUCCUUAAGUGAAGCUGCUAGCCUGCGAAGUUUCCACCAGAUGGCACCAAAACACUAUAUUCCAAGCACUAAGCCGUCACCGCGCCUUCAGGAGAAAGAGCCGGAACCUUCCGCUCCUCUGAGAUGAUCAAGCACAGGCCCAGGGGCAAGUACAACAGAAAUUAAAACUCCCGCUCCCACCUCCCAGAAUGUGUGGUGUUGGAUUUUUAUCGGGAGAGAGAGAAAGGGAGGGAGAGAGAUAGAGAGAAAGAAACAAACUUUCUCAGGAAAAGGUCUUUAUUUUUUUAUAUUUUUCCUUCUUUAGAAUCUGGCCUAAAUGCUAUGAUGGGGGCCACCGCGUGGCAUAGUGGUUAAGUUUGGGCGCUCUUCUUCAGGGGCCUGGGGUUGGCCCGUUCAGAUCCUGGGCAGGGACCUAGCACUGCUCAUCAAGCCACGCUGUGGCAGAGUCCCAAAUAUAAAAUAGAAGAUGGGCACAGAUGUUAGCUCAGGGCCAAUCCUCCUCAGCAAAAAGAGGAAGAUUGGCAGCGGAUGUUAGCGGAGGGCCAAUGUCCCUCAAAAAAAAAAAAAAAAAAAAAAAGGCUAUGAUGGACUUUACGAAAUGAGGGACAUGAAUAUUCCUGGGGAUCCUGUCAUUUUCAGCAGGGUUUGCCUCCCUGUCCCUUUCGCUGUUUGCUACAGAACUGCGUGUUGACGAGAAUAGAAAUACAGUAGCUCCCUCUUAAGACAAGUGAAAACAAAUCUAUACAUUCAACAUUCUAACUAAACAAAAGAGUAAAAUUAACUAUUUUC
rnacentral:lncRNA from 1 species